UCCUGGCUGCUUCUGCCAUGUGAAAACACAGCAAAAAGACAGCUGUCUAUGAAACAGGAAGUAGGUCCUCACCAGACACAGAAUCUGCCAGUACCCUGACCUUGGAUUUUCGAGCCUCCAGAACUGUCAAUGUCACUGUUCCGAAGCUAGACUUGCAGUUCACUGGGAAGCAUGACACCACAGCACCUCCAGCUGUGGACGCAUCAUGGACAAGCCAGGCUGAGAGGAGAACUUCUCAUUACUUGCAGCACAGCAACAUUGGGUUCAAUGUAUGCCCAUGAAAAACCUCAUUUAAGAGAAUGCCUUGGAAAGGUGCCAAGGUCCCCAAACUAAUUAACUUUCAUCUCUCCUGGCCCUCUGCACCCUCUCUCCAUGAGGAACAUUAAACAUAGAACAUCAGCUUGA
rnacentral:lncRNA from 1 species